AACAAGGCGUACCUGCGGACCUGCGGAGGGAUCAUUAACGUGUGUAACCUACCCUUUUAAAAAAUGGGUGGUACCUCCCGUCCUUUGCGGGCCCCCUUCUUUUAUUAAGGGGGGGGCUUUUAAGACUUUCUGCUUCGGCGGGGUUAUUCCCGCCGGAACACCUUCAAAAAACUCUUGAUCAAAAAACUGUUCAGUCCGAGAAUUUUUGAAAAUUAAAACAAAACUUUUAGCAACGGAUCU
rnacentral:misc_RNA from 1 species